rnacentral:misc_RNA from 1 species
ACACCUCAACUCUCGUGGUCUUCCAUGAUGAGCUUGGACUUUGGGGGUUUGCUGGCCCUGUGGCCGGCUCCUCUCAAACGAAUCAGCUUGCCAGUGUUUGGCGGCGUCACGGGUGUGAUAACCAUCUACGCUUGCGAUCGCCUGCCAGAUAACCCUCAGCGAUGAAGGUUCAUUGGGGCUCACAAAAGUCUCUCCACGGCGAGGACGAAUUUUGAAU